AGCAGUUCUACGUUCCCAUAAUAUUCUGUUGGAGUCAAUAACAGUAACCACAGCCUGGAGUUUCCUGUUGCUAAUGGUAAGAUUUUGUGAGUAAAGUCUGGUUGGAAAUGUCAACAAUGGAAACAAGCCAUAAAUGCGAAGGCAGGUAUUUAGCAUUGGAGGGGGGUCGCAAAGAAGGUCUUCGGUGCCUAAUGUGUUAAACAGCUUUAGAUUUUGUUAGUAAGGGAAG